GAGCUGGAGGUUGCCUAGAAGCGGAGGAGACACAGAAAUUCAUUCACAACGGGGGAUGAAAUAAAAUGAAGCCUAUCAAUUGCCUCGAAUCGCCUUCCUGAAAGUCUGUGUUUCCCGUGCGAGCAUUUCAGCAAGGUAAGAAACAUGGAUGUUCCUCCAGCACAAAGGAUUAGGAGUCGCAAAUAAAUUAGGAUUAAAUUAGUGAUUAAGACAGCUAGCGACUGCUCCUGCUAAUCUCAGCAGCAAGUCCAAGGAGUGAGGGAGGAAGGGAGAGAGCAAAAAACAGAGAGAAGUGCAGGAGAGAGAGAAGGAGGGAGAAGAGAGAGAGCCUACAGUGUCGCCCUUUAAGAACUGAAAGACAGAGCGAUUGAGAGAGAGAGGGAGAGGGGGAGAGAGAGAGAGAUUGAGAGAGAGGGAGAGAGAUUAAGAGAGAGAAAGAGCCAGGGAGAGAUUGAGAGAGAGAUAGAGAGGGAGAGGGAGAGAGAGAUUGAGAGUGAAAGCGGCAAAGAGAGAGCUAGCAGAGAAGUAUGCUGGAAACUGGCUGAUCCUGGUUGGCGUCUCCCUGGUUAAACUCUGGAUAGAAAGAACAGGUGGCAGGGGCUUGUUGGCCACUUCUCGGAGGUGAACUGGACUGAUCUCAGAGGUGUUCAGUGGGAGUACAGGGACCAGGGACCAGGGACCCCCCACCUGUCCUCCCCCCUGACUGACGGAGAUGCAGACAGAGGGGGCUUUUCUGGAGCCAGAAUGGACGUUCUACAGAGAGGCCACGUCCCACAUGGCACACACGCAUGAAGGUCUCCACUAACACAGGGGGACCCUGCCAUGAGCUAAGCCCCCUGCGCGCUACAGCGAGAUGACAGCCGUGUGUCCGAGCAGGGACCCCGUCCUGGA